rnacentral:rRNA from 1 species
ACACUCCUACGGGAGGCAGCAGUGGGGAAUAUUGGACAAUGGGCGCAAGCCUGAUCCAGCCAUGCCGCGUGAGUGAUGAAGGCCCUAGGGUUGUAAAGCUCUUUCACCGGUGAAGAUAAUGACGGUAAUCGGAGAAGAAGCCCCGGCUAACUUCGUGCUAGCAGCCGCGGUAAUACGAAGGGGGCUAGCGUUGUUCGGAUUUACUGGGCGUAAAGCGCACGUAGGCGGACUAUUAAGUCAGGGGUGAAAUCCCGGGGCUCAACCCCGGAACUGCCUUUGAUACUGGUAGUCUUGAGUUCGAGAGAGGUGAGUGGAAUUCCGAGUGUAGAGGUGAAAUUCGUAGAUAUUCGGAGGAACACCAGUGGCGAAGGCGGCUCACUGGCUCGAUACUGACGCUGAGGUGCGAAAGCGUGGGGAGCAAACAGGAUUAGAUACCCUAGUAGUCCCAUG